rnacentral:rRNA from 1 species
AUUGAACGCUGGCGGCAGGCUUAACACAUGCAAGUCGAGCGGGGAAAGGUAGCUUGCUACCUGACCUAGCGGCGGACGGGUGAGUAAUGCUUAGGAAUCUGCCUACUAGUGGGGGACAACAUCUCGAAAGGGAUGCUAAUACCGCAUACGUCCUACGGGAGAAAGCAGGGGACCUUCGGGCCUUGCGCUAAUAGAUGAGCCUAAGUCGGAUUAGCUAGUUGGUGGGGUAAAGGCCUACCAAGGCGACGAUCUGUAGCGGGUCUGAGAGGAUGAUCCGCCACACUGGGACUGAGACACGGCCCAGACUCCUACGGGAGGCAGCAGUGGGGAAUAUUGGACAAUGGGGAGAACCCUGAUCCAGCCAUGCCGCGUGUGUGAAGAAGGCCUUUUGGUUGUAAAGCACUUUAAGCGAGGAGGAGGCUACCGAGAUUAAUACUCUUGGAUAGUGGACGUUACUCGCAGAAUAAGCACCGGCUAACUCUGUGCCAGCAGCCGCGGUAACAC